GAGUUUGAUCGUGGCUCAGAUUGAACGCUGGCGGCAUGCCUUACACAUGCAAGUCGAACGGCAGCAUGAUCUAGCUUGCUAGAUUGAUGGCGAGUGGCGAACGGGUGAGUAAUACAUCGGAACGUGCCCUGUAGUGGGGGAUAACUAGUCGAAAGAUUAGCUAAUACCGCAUACGACCUGAGGGUGAAAGUGGGGGACCGCAAGGCCUCAUGCUAUAGGAGCGGCCGAUGUCUGAUUAGCUAGUUGGUGGGGUAAAGGCCCACCAAGGCGACGAUCAGUAGCUGGUCUGAGAGGACGAUCAGCCACACUGGGACUGAGACACGGCCCAGACUCCUACGGGAGGCAGCAGUGGGGAAUUUUGGACAAUGGGGGCAACCCUGAUCCAGCAAUGCCGCGUGUGUGAAGAAGGCCUCGGUU
rnacentral:rRNA from 1 species